rnacentral:rRNA from 1 species
GACGAACGCUGGCGGCGUGCUUAACACAUGCAAGUCGAACGGUAAGGCUCCAGCUUGCUGGGGUACACGAGUGGCGAACGGGUGCGUAACACGUGGGUGACCUGCCCUGCACUUCGGGAUAAGCCUGGGAAACUGGGUCUAAUACCGGAUAGGACCGCACCGUGAGGGUGUGGUGGAAAGUUUUUUCGGUGUGGGAUGGGCCCGCGGCCUAUCAGCUUGUUGGUGGGGUAAUGGCCUACCAAGGCGGCGACGGGUAGCCGGCCUGAGAGGGUGGACGGCCACAUUGGGACUGAGACACGGCCCAGACUCCUACGGGAGGCAGCAGUGGGGAAUAUUGCACAAUGGGCGGAAGCCUGAUGCAGCGACGCCGCGUGGGGGAUGACGGCCUUCGGGUUGUAAACUCCUUUCACCAUCGACGAAGGGUUUCUGACGGUAGAUGGAGAAGAAGCACCGGCUAACUACGUG